GAGGUGCUUGCACCUUAUCUUAGCGGCGGACGGGUGAGUAAUGCUUAGGAAUCUGCCUAUUAGUGGGGGACAACAUUCCGAAAGGGAUGCUAAUACCGCAUACGUCCUACGGGAGAAAGCAGGGGAACUUCGGACCUUGCGCUAAUAGAUGAGCCUAAGUCGGAUUAGCUAGUUGGUGGGGUAAAGGCCUACCAAGGCGACGAUCUGUAGCGGGUCUGAGAGGAUGAUCCGCCACACUGGGACUGAGACACGGCCCAGACUCCUACGGGAGGCAGCAGUGGGGAAUAUUGGACAAUGGGGGGAACCCUGAUCCAGCCAUGCCGCGUGUGUGAAGAAGGCCUUAUGGUUGCACUUUAAGCGAGGAGGAGGCUACUGAGACUAAUACUCUUGGAUAGUGGACGUUACUCGCAGAAUAAGCACCGGCUAACUCUGUGCCGCAGCCGCGGUAAUACAGAGGUGCGAGCGUUAAUCGGA
rnacentral:rRNA from 1 species